rnacentral:rRNA from 1 species
GAGUUUGAUCCUGGCUCAGGAUGAACGCUAGCGGCGGGCUUAAUACAUGCAAGUCGAGGGGCAGCACGAUGUAGCAAUACAUUGGUGGCGACCGGCGGACGGGUGCGUAACACGUAUGCAACUUGCCCUAUACUGGGGGAUAGCCCGAAGAAAUUCGGAUUAAUACCCCAUAACAUCAGGAUCAGCAUUGAUCUUGGUUCAAAGUUCCGACGGUAUAGGAUGGGCAUGCGGUCGAUUAGCUUGUUGGUGAGGUAACGGCUCACCAAGGCGACGAUCGAUAGGGGGCCUGAGAGGGUGAUCCCCCACACUGGUACUGAGACACGGACCAGACUCCUACGGGAGGCAGCAGUAAGGAAUAUUGGUCAAUGGGCGCAAGCCUGAACCAGCCACGCCGCGUGAAGGAAGACGGCCCUAUGGGUUGUAAACUUCUUUUCUACGGGAAUAAACCUCGGGACGUGUCCCGAGCUGAAGGUAUCGUAGGAAUAAGGAUCGGCUAACUCCGUGCCAGCAGCCGCGGUAAUACGGAGGAUCCAAGCGUUAUCCGGAUUUAUUGGGUUUAAAGGGUGCGUAGGUGGAAGAGUAAGUCAGAGGUGAAAGCUAGCAGCUUAACUGUUAAAUUGCCUUUGAUACUGCUUUUCUUGAGUAUAGUUGGCGUUGGCGGAAUGUGACAUGUAGCGGUGAAAUGCGUAGAUAUGUCACAGAACACCGAUCGCGAAGGCAGCUAACGAAACUAUCACUGACACUGAUGCACGAAAGCGUGGGGAGCAAACAGGAUUAGAUACCCUGGUAGUCCACGCCGU